ensembl:lncRNA
AAAGGAUCAAGAUAUAUACAGUAUGGGGAUGAGGUAGAUAGAUAGAUGGGCUAUUUAUAGAUGGGCUAUGAACAGGUGCAGUGAUCUGUGAGCUGCUCUGACAGCUGGUGCAGCUACGUGAGGGAGAUGUGAGUCUCCAACUUCAGUGAUUUUUGCCUGUUUGUUCCAGUCAGCGGCAGCAGAGAACUGGAAGGAAAGGCGAACAAAGGAGGAAUUGGCUUUGAGAUAAAACCUGUUUGAGCGCGUGCUACGGGUGUGUGUUGCUAUGGUGACCAGCGAGCUGAGAUAGGGGCGGGGCUUUACCUAGCAGAGACUUGAUGAGUGACUUGUUUUGUUUUGAUUACAAUCACGCCUUACCUGUUAACACGUGAUAGCACUGUGUUGUCUGGGAAAAGACUGGGCGAGUUUGCUUUGCAUGCUAUGCUAGCAUAGUUUAACGCAAGGUCAGGGACAAGCUAUGCUAGCUAGCUGCUGUCAGCUUGGCUAAACACAAGGUCAGGGACAAGCUAUGCUAGGUAGCUGCUGUCAGCUUGGCUAAACGCAAGG